UUCCGGCUGCUGGUUGCUUACUCACACAGCUCACCUCUUCCUCGGGUGGUAGCUCCCUUGGCAACUUGGACUGCUCUGAAGUUGCUGGAUGAGAAGCAAGCCAAUCAAAUGGGGAAGAUUGGUCAGCUAGAAGGUGCUACGGGUCCGUGGGGCAGGAAACGAGGUUCACUGCCUAGAAGGAGGCAGCAUGAAGAACAUGUGAGGCGCUACCAACUUGAGGCAACAGGGGCGUUGCCUGGUUGAGUGGGGGAGAGUGUUACCCCUAAAUUUAUUGCCCCAAAAGUCCAACAAUUUUCGCUUGAAGGCUACCUAAGUGAAGCUAAUAUGUGUGCAUGGGACAAUAGUGCCCGAGACAUUGAGGAGACGGACGUGAAUUACAUGGGCACGUGAAGCCAAAUUAUGUGCAUGGGAGUGAAUUAGUGGGACGCAUCAUGGUGACAUAAGCCAUUUAGUGGAGGCCAUGUGAUACGGCAAGUGGUGCCAAGACCACUAAAUG
rnacentral:misc_RNA from 1 species